AAAUUGAAGAGUUUGAUCAUGGCUCAGAUUGAACGCUGGCGGCAGGCCUAACACAUGCAAGUCGAGCGGUAGCACAGAGAGCUUGCUCUCGGGUGACGAGCGGCGGACGGGUGAGUAAUGUCUGGGAAACUGCCUGAUGGAGGGGGAUAACUACUGGAAACGGUAGCUAAUACCGCAUAAUGUCGCAAGACCAAAGUGGGGGACCUUCGGGCCUCAUGCCAUCAGAUGUGCCCAGAUGGGAUUAGCUAGUA
rnacentral:rRNA from 1 species